rnacentral:tRNA from 1 species
UCUAAUAUGGCAGAAAAGUGCCUUGGACUUAAACCCCAAUCAUAAAGAUAUUAAUUCUUUUUUUAGAA